rnacentral:rRNA from 1 species
CUACGGGAGGCAGCAGUGGGGAAUAUUGGACAAUGGGGGAAACCCUGAUCCAGCAAUGCCGCGUGUGUGAAGAAGGCCUGCGGGUUGUAAAGCACUUUCGGUUGGGAGGACUGCUUCUAGCACUAAUAUUGUUGGAAGUUGACGUUACCUUCAGAAGAAGCACCGGCUAACUCCGUGCCAGCAGCCGCGGUAAUACGGAGGGUGCAAGCGUGAAUCGGAAUUACUGGGCGUAAAGCGCGCGUAGGCGGCGAGAUCAGCCGGGUGUGAAAGCCCCGGGCUUAACCUGGGAACUGCAUCCGAUACUGUCUAGCUUGAGUACAGGAGAGGAGAGUGGAAUUCCACAUGUAGCGGUGAAAUGCGUAGAUAUGUGGAGGAACACCAAUGGCGAAGGCAGCUCUCUGGCCUGAUACUGACGCUGAGGUGCGAAAGCGUGGGGAGCAAACAGGAUUAGAUACCCGCGUAGUC